GAUGAACGCUAGCGGCAGGCUUAACACAUGCAAGUCGAGGGGCAGCGCGGUAGCAAUACUGGCGGCGACCGGCAAACGGGUGCGGAACACGUACAGAACCUACCUUUACCUGGGGCAUAGCCCGGAGAAAUCCGGAUUAACUCCCCAUAAUAUAUUUGGAUGGCAUCAUUUGGAUAUUAAAAAUUUAUUGGGUAAAGAUGGCUGUGCGUCCCAUUAGCUAGUUGGUAGGGUAACGGCCUACCAAGGCGACGAUGGGUAGCUGGUGUGAGAGCACGACCAGCCACACGGGCACUGAGACACGGGCCCGACUCCUACGGGAGGCAGCAGUGAGGAAUAUUGGUCAAUGGACGCAAGUCUGAACCAGCCAUGCCGCGUGAAGGAUGAA
rnacentral:rRNA from 1 species